GAUGAAGAACGUAGUGAAAUGCGAUACGUAAUGUGAAUUGCAGAAUUCAGUGAAUCAUCGAGUCUUUGAACGCACAUUGCGCCCCCUGGUAUUCCGGGGGGCAUGCCUGUCCGAGCGUCAUUGCUGCCCUCAAGCCCGGCUUGUGUGUUGGGUCUCGUCCCCCUUCCCGGGGGGACGGGCCCGAAAGGCAGCGGCGGCACCGCGUCCGGUCCUCGAGCGUAUGGGGCUUUGUCACCCGCUCUGUAGGCCCGGCCGGCGCUUGCCGAUCAACCAAAACUUUUUUCCAGGUUGACCUCGGAUCAGGUAGGAAUACCCGCUGAACUUAAGCAUAUCAAUAAGCGGAGGA
rnacentral:misc_RNA from 1 species